rnacentral:rRNA from 1 species
CCUACGGGAGGCAGCAGUGAGGAAUAUUGGUCAAUGGGCGAGAGCCUGAACCAGCCAAGUCGCGUGAAGGAUGAAGGAUCUAUGGUUUGUAAACUUCUUUUAUAAAGGAAUAAAACGAGGCACGUGUGCCUUUUUGCAUGUACUUUAUGAAUAAGGAUCGGCUAACUCCGUGCCAGCAGCCGCGGUAAUACGGAGGAUCCGAGCGUUAUCCGGAUUUAUUGGGUUUAAAGGGAGCGUAGAUGGGUUGUUAAGUCAGUGGUGAAAGUUUGCGGCUCAACCGUAAGAGUGCAAUUGAUACUGGCAGUCUUGAGUACAGUUGAGGAAGGCGGAAUUCGUGGUGUAGCGGUGAAAUGCUUAGAUAUCACGAAGAACCCCGAUGGCGAAGGCAGCUUACUAAACUGUGACUGACAUUGAGGCUCGAAAGUGUGGGUAUCAAACAGGAUUAGAUACCCCAGUAGUC